CAUUAGAUAACUAAAUUAAGUACUGGUCUCUUAAACCAUUGAUAGUAUACACAUACUUCUAAUGA
rnacentral:tRNA from 1 species